rnacentral:rRNA from 1 species
ACUUCGCGGAGAGAUUAAUGAGUCUUUGAAGUGGGUUUGAUGCUGGUCUGUCGAGGCAUGUGCUCGCCCUAUUCUCAUCCAGUCACACCUGUGCACCUUACGUUUAAGAAGUGGUUGUUGCCUCCCUUCGGGUUGGCAGGUUAGGGAAGCCUAGCUAUGGCCCUUCUUUGCGUUACUUUACACAAACUCUUGAAUGUCAUAGAAUGUAUAUUGGCCUACGGGCUUUAAUUUAAGUACAACUUUCAACAACGGAUCUCUUGGCUCUCGCAUCGAUGAAGAACGCAGCGAAAUGCGAUAAGUAAUGUGAAUUGCAGAAUUCAGUGAAUCAUCGAAUCUUUGAACGCACCUUGCGCUCCUUGGUAUUCCGAGGAGCAUGCCUGUUUGAGUGUCGUGAACAUAUCAACCCCGACGGGAUUUUAAUCUCGACGGUGGCUUGGACUUGGGAGCCUGCUGGCCGUUGUACUUCGGUCGGCUCUCCUUGAAUGCAUUAGCUUGGACUUGUUUCAUGGGCUGCAUAGCGUGAUAACUAUCUACGCUUUGUACUGUCUGUGGGAUACUCAUGAGUCUGGCUUCUAAUCGUCCUCUGGACAAUUACUUUACGUUUUGACCUCAAAUCAGGUAGGACUACCCGCUGAACUUAAGCAUAUCAAUAAGCGGAGGAAAAGAAACUAACAAGGAUUCCCCUAGUAACUGCGAGUGAAGCGGGAUGAGCUCAAAUUUAAAAUCUGGCGGUUAUGCCGUCCGAGUUGUAAUCUGGAGAAGCGUUUUCUGUGCUGGACCGUACAUAAGUUCCUUGGAAUAGGACGUCAUAGAGGGUGAGAAUCCCGUCUUUGGUAUGGACUACCAGUACUCUGUGAUACGCUCUCAAAGAGUCGAGUUGUUUGGGAAUGCAGCUCAAAUGGGUGGUAAAUUCCAUCUAAAGCUAAAUAUAGGCGAGAGACCGAUAGCGAACAAGUACCGUGAGG